rnacentral:rRNA from 1 species
GACGAACGCUGGCGGCGUGCUUAACACAUGCAAGUCGAACGGAAAGGCCUCUUUCGGGGGGUACUCGAGUGGCGAACGGGUGAGUAACACGUGAGUAACCUGCCCUUGACUUUGGGAUAACUUCAGGAAACUGGGGCUAAUACCGGAUAGGAGCUCCUGCUGCAUGGUGGGGGUUGGAAAGUUUCGGCGGUUGGGGAUGGACUCGCGGCUUAUCAGCUUGUUGGUGGGGUAGUGGCUUACCAAGGCUUUGACGGGUAGCCGGCCUGAGAGGGUGACCGGCCACAUUGGGACUGAGAUACGGCCCAGACUCCUACGGGAGGCAGCAGUGGGGAAUAUUGCACAAUGGGUGGAAGCCUGAUGCAGCAACGCCGUGUGCGGGAUGACGGCCUUCGGGUUGGAAACCGCUUUCGCUCAUGACGAAGCUUUGUGUGACGGUAGUGGGUAAAGAAGCGCCGGCUAACUACGUG